rnacentral:ncRNA from 1 species
GCAGAGUAGCCGUUGGCGCGUUAAGUGCCGCAAAAUGGGAUGUCGUUUGCGGACGAAAGGAGCUUUUCCUGCGGUGCCGCGGCGCGUCCGUUG